UGAAAAACUUUGAUGGAGAGAAGUAACUGUUUUUGCUUUUUUCAGAGAGCGCACUUUAUGGUGAAAUGUGUGUAUUUAGCAGGCAGUGAAAUGCACUCCGGAGUUUUCCGAAGGAAAUUCAGUAUUUCGGAACGGUUUGCUCCGUUAAAAGCAGGGCUGUUAGAGCAGUCAAGUAUAAAGAAGAGUGGAACCGCAGUUUUUAUUGCCUCUGUC
rnacentral:ncRNA from 1 species